rnacentral:rRNA from 1 species
AAAUAGGUUUCCUCAGUAAUGGCGAAUGAACAGGGAUAAGCUCAGCAUGGAAAUUGGGGCCUGUGGCCUUGAAUUGUAGUCUGGAGAUGUACUGCCAACGGAGGCGCAGAUGUAAGCCUCUUGGAAAAGAGCAUCAACGAGGGUGAGAGUCCCGCUUGUCAUCUGCAGUCCCCCGUGCACGGCGUACCUUCUAAGAGUCACGUUCCUCGGGAUUGGAGCGCAAAGUGGGUGGUAAAUUUCAUCUAAAGCUAAAUAUUGGUUCGAGACCGAUAGCAAACAAGUACCAUGAGGGAAAGGUGAAAAGGACUUUGAAAAGAGAGUUAAAAGUGCCUGAAAUUGCUGAAAGGGAAGCGAACGGAACCAGUGUGUCUUGGCGAGAUUGUUGCAUGCUAAUGUGAUGAUCUGCUGCUUCAGCGCAAGCGUGGCAGUAGGUUUUGAUCAGGACGCGUGCAGUGCUUCUUGCCUUGUGUGUCAUCUUCAGUUCGCAUUUGAAGAAAACUCCAAGGACAUGGUAGCAUGCCCCCGGGUGUGUGAACGUGCUCGGCUGAAUUCAUUUGCGUACUGCUUGCUGACUAAAUGGUUCCAUUCGACCCGUCUUGAAACACGGACCAAGGAGUCUAACAUAUGUGCGAGUUCACGGGUGGGUAAACCUGCUUGCGCAAUGAAAGUGACUGCUGGGAUUCUUGCACCAGCAACCGACCAAUCAAUUGAGAGAGGUUUGAGUAUGAGCAUAUCUGUUAGGACCCGAAAGAUGGUGAACUAUGCCUGUGAAGGGCAAACUCAGGGGAAACUCUGAUGGAGGCUCGUAGCGAUACUGACGUGCAAAUCGUUCGUCAUACAUGGGUAUAGGGGCGAAAGACUAAUCGAACCAUCUAGUAGCUGGUUCCCUCCGAAGUUUCCCUCAGGAUAGCUGGAGAUGAACAGUUUUAUCAGGUAAAGCGAAUGAUUAGAGGAAUCGGGGGACGCGUUGUCCUCGACCUAUUCUCAAACUUUAAAUGGGUAAGAUCCAGUGGUUACUUGGGUGAACUUCUGGGAUAAAUGACAACUCUAAGUGGGCCAUUUUUGGUAAGCAGAACUGGCGAUGAGGGAUGAACCUAACGUUGGGUUAAAGGUGCUUAACUGCUCGCUCAUCAGAUACCAUAAAGGGGUGUUGGUUCAUUUUAACAGCAGGACGGGGGUCGUGAAGUCGA